rnacentral:ncRNA from 1 species
CAUAAUGCUCCGAGCGGUGGUUUCUAAGGACCCGAUGGCGUCUAUGAAAUCUCCGCCGCCGGCGGCGCUUUCCGUGCCGCCCCAGGGCUGACGCCGGAAACGGCGCAGCCUUCCAUCUUUGAAAAGGGGCC